rnacentral:rRNA from 1 species
UACAUGGGGUGCAAACGUUGCUCGGAAUCAUUGGGCGUAAAGCGCACGUAGGCGGUUCGUUAUGUCGGAUGUGAAAGCCCUUGGCUUAACCGAGGAAGUGCAUCCGAAACUGGCGAGCUAGAGUACUAAAGAGGAUCGCGGAAUUCCCGGUGUAGAGGUGAAAUUCGUAGAUAUUGGGAAGAACACCGGUGGCGAAGGCGGCUCACUGGCUCGUAACUGACGCUCAUGCACGACAGCGUGGGGAUCAAACAGG